rnacentral:lncRNA from 1 species
UGUGGAAGAUUGUGGUGUUGAAGCAUGGGGUUUAGGUGAUGGUGGUGAAGCCUGGGGUUUAGGUGAUGGUGGGGGAGUGGGUUUUGAUGGUGGCGGGGAUGGUGGUUGAGGCAUUAUUGGUGAUGGUGGUGGUGGGGAUUGUGGAUGCAAGAUUGGAGAGGUUGGUGAAGUGCGAAGAGAUGUGGGAUGGGACGACUCCUGAGUCUACGGCACUUCUUGGGGUGAUGGUUCUAGUAGCUG